rnacentral:lncRNA from 1 species
ACCUGUUCAAUAAAUAAUGGCAUGGUCUGUUUCAUAUUUUGUAUAUACUAUAUGGUAUUACAGUGUUCUAGCCUUUAAAACCCUCCACUAUAUAAACAUAAUAAGGACAAAAAAGAAAACGCAAGAAAAAGAUAAAAACCUUUUGUAAUGUAAUUCCAGUAGCUUCUCUUCUCUUUCCCGUUGCUUUUUCAGCUCAACCUCUGCCUUCAUUUUUGCUGCUGCUUCAGCAGCUAAGAUUUGAGCUUCAAUCUCUGCCUUUCCUGUGAAGGUUCAAUCAUAAUCUAUAAG